rnacentral:rRNA from 2 species
GUCGAACGAGUUCUCGUUGAUGAUCGGUGCUUGCACCGAGAUUCAACAUGGAACGAGUGGCGGACGGGUGAGUAACACGUGGGUAACCUGCCCUUAAGUGGGGGAUAACAUUUGGAAACAGAUGCUAAUACCGCAUAGAUCCAAGAACCGCAUGGUUCUUGGCUGAAAGAUGGCGUAAGCUAUCGCUUUUGGAUGGACCCGCGGCGUAUUAGCUAGUUGGUGAGGUAAUGGCUCACCAAGGCGAUGAUACGUAGCCGAACUGAGAGGUUGAUCGGCCACAUUGGGACUGAGACACGGCCCAAACUCCUACGGGAGGCAGCAGUAGGGAAUCUUCCACAAUGGACGCAAGUCUGAUGGAGCAACGCCGCGUGAGUGAAGAAGGCUUUCGGGUCGUAAAACUCUGUUGUUGGAGAAGAAUGGUCGGCAGAGUAACUGUUGUCGGCGUGACGGUAUCCAACCAGAAAGCCACGGCUAACUACGUGCCAGCAGCCGCGGUAAUACGUAGGUGGCAAGCGUUAUCCGGAUUUAUUGGGCGUAAAGCGAGCGCAGGCGGUUUUUUAAGUCUGAUGUGAAAGCCCUCGGCUUAACCGAGGAAGCGCAUCGGAAACUGGGAAACUUGAGUGCAGAAGAGGACAGUGGAACUCCAUGUGUAG